GCUGUUCAGUUGACUUGUCUAGCUGAAAUAACUCAGACACAUCUGAGAACCUCUUUCAUUUCACUUGUUUUUCAGGACAGGUGUGAGCUGUGGAGGAAAUGGAACCAUUUGUGAAAUCAUGACAUCUGAUAGAAACAUCCAGCCUUCCUCUUGGUUUACUACCUGGGUAAAAAAUUUGUUUAUAUGAAAUGCUGGAUUGCUUUGUGAACUACUUCAGCAGGCCAAGCCAAGCUGGUCUUCCAGCACAACGAAUUUAUGUCCUUACAGUGGCUUCCUGCCAGCAUCCUCUCUAUUGAACUGUAUUUACAUUAGCACUGUAAAACAUUACUUCAUUCAAGUGUCUGAAGUGAAGCACUCACUCCUUCCAUGCACUUAGUUCCUGAUUGUUGCCAGCUGGUGAGAAGUUAGCAGAUUGCUUUUCCCAGCUGGCCCCUGCAAUUCCUCCUAUAAUGAGAAUUAAAGAUAGUGGAUCACUGAGGUUAUUUAAGCUUUAGUUGCCUUUAGGUGGGGGUAAGUGCAAAAUAUUAGAUGCUUCUUUCAACUUAGGUUGAAAGAUGAAUCCUUCUGUUAGCUUCAGCAGACAUUGCCUUGGGUAUCAGUUCUUGAUGUCCUUGAGUCUACAUAGUGGGUCAUGGCUGGUCAGCAAUGAGGGAACAUUAAAGACUCUGGAAGUGCAUUUUGGCUCUGUCAAAGAAUGUGAGCACACUUACUUCUGUUUAUUUACUUCCCUCCUUCAUUCCCCUCUUGCCUGUGGUGUAGAUUAGAAGUAAAAGUCUCCAGAGAGUGGAUUCCUCAUUAAGAUUCCUGAUACCUCCUGGUAUGCAGAGGCUGGGAUUACCACAUGAAGGGCAUCCUGCUAUUUUUGCCUCUGGUCCAGUCCCUUUGAAGGGACCCUGGAACACUUCACAAUCAUGCAGAUUUAUGAGCACUGAGUAGCCUGCCAGAGCCUUUCUGACAUAUUCCUGUAAAUUAAUUAUGGGAAACUGCCCCAGGCCCCUGUCAUUAAAAGUACAUUCUUAGCAUUUCAUGAACAAAGCUUAGUUUCCUCCUUCUGUUCCUAUAGGAUAUGAUCUAUUUCCUGACAGAUGUUUAUCCUGAAACAUCAAGUGAUUGUUUAUGAGGAAAGUAAGUGAAUAGAAGCAUACCGUAUCACCUAGGAUGAGUCACAAUGUGAAUCCUGAAUCCCCAGUGUGGUCUGAAUUUCUCCAGUGCCUGAGGAGAUUGCUUUUUAAGAUUUGGGUUUGUUUAAAUCUGUCUUGAUUGGCAACUGGGCACUUCAAGUUCUGUAGCUGGUCAUCAAGCCUUCAUUUUCAGUGCUGCCUUAGCAUAGCUUUUGACCAAAAGCUAUUACCCACCUGCUGUCUAUUUGAGCACUUUAAUGAAAUUAGUUGAUCCCUCCAACUGCUUGUGCCUUGCUGGCUCUUAAACACUACAACAUGAAGUGCCAAGAAAAACAGACAUAUAGAAUAAACAAGAAUGGCUGUUGGCA
rnacentral:lncRNA from 1 species